ACUAAUGCGGUUCGACGGGAAGUCUCAAACUAGGACCGAGUCUCACUUGCGACCGCCGUACGAAUUGUGUACGUUCAGCACGCCGCCCGAAGCCGGACGUCGCCGCCUGCCCACUCAUUGCGCAUCCUUGCAUAGGACUCCACCCCCUGUUGGGACCCUUUGACCCCGAUUAUGGCGUACACUGGAAGCCCAGUUUCGGAAGCCCGCGGAACCCUCGCCGGACGCAGGCUAAUCCAACAACCACCCCAUUGCCGGAUGGUUCGGACGCUAGCCAUCGACCAGACUCUCCUGCUAGUCGGUGUGACCCUGACUCUGUGCCGGGUCUGAGGAUGCCCUCCGUCGUCACCCCUUAUAACCUGUUACCCGCGUUCGGACUAGGUCGUUACGGCGCACCCACUUCUUCCAGAAGCCUAACAUUUCGGGAAAGCCGCCCCUGCUACUACUGCCAUGGGCGUCUUCUUCGGGGCCGAUUGAAGCACGGUCGUCGGCGCCAUUAUGCUUCCCCCGAUCGCAACGAGCCUUGGUGACCCGCAUUUCCCGCGCAUCCGCCGCGUCAACCAGUCCGCACUUUCAGGACCCGAGUUGGACCCCUGCCGCGAACUCUGCCGACACGACCUCCCGCCUUCUCCGAGCGCCUUAAGGGUCACAUCUCCACUUUAAGCAUCUAUAACCCUUCUUGUGGCCACCGCUUCCGCCGCUCGACCAGGCAUGGACUGCGACUCCGCGCUGUCGCACCCCUCGUUUGUCCUAAUCUAUGGGACCAUCAGGUGCGGCAUUUGCUACACGCGACCUACAACCCCCGGGAUCCGGGAGUCACAGCGUCGGUUGCGCCAUUCGCGUGGCGGACCCCUCAUGCCGGCGUUCCAACUUUGAGUUUCCUUAACUGCCCCCGGGCGUGUUCGCCACCUCGUACACCAAAUUAAGCUUCGUUGCGCGUCUUGGAAUGGUCGGGAACUGUACCCGGCCUGGCCGCGUCUCUACGCGGAAGGGGCGUUCCCCGGCCGGCGUGUCCACGACGUACCGACAGCAGUCGAGCACAGCACUCUACAACCCAAUUCAGGGCGUUGCUCGCGUUGGGAGCGGCGGUCAACGGUCGUCCAACCCGACCCGUGAGACCGCCUUGACGGCCACUGUUCGGCCUCCUUCCACCCCUACUGCAGUUCAGGAGUACCGGGAAUACCCGACCCGAUGUGUGCACGAUGUUACCGCCACUGUCACCCUUCGCUCCGGCGCUCCGGGUCGGCUAGGGCUUUUCGGCAGAGUCAAGUCUAGCGUGCGACGUUGAGCGCACGCACUUCCGCCUUAGCGAUCAUUAGCGCCUAGUCGUGCGGCGCCACUUAUGCAAGGGCCCGGAACAUGUGUGGCGGGCAGUGUGGUACCCUCAACCAAGCUGGAAUUCGGCCACGCGGUUGGCGUUCCUCCAUCGGCCGGAGCCAGCCCAGUCGCUGACCCCACUUCAGCAUUGUUCCAUCGGCAUCCCCUUGGACGCCAACCUAGUGGAGGAUUCCCGUC
rnacentral:rRNA from 1 species